CCAAUAUAAAUCAGCCCAAAUACAGACGAUAUCGUUUUGCCUUUUCCACUCUUCCACCUCACCAUCCUAGUUGCCGAUUCUGCAAAUCACCGUUUUUUUUUUUUGGGUUAUUAUGAUCUACUUUUAAUAAUUCAAUCCAGUUCUUUGCUCCUAUCUUGAUGAGCCAUGCUAUCCUUCCACCUCCCUUUUAUUUAUCCUCCUCUUAAAUAAAUCCUUUUGUAGAUGAGCCUGCUAUGUUCUUUACGCCGCUUGCGAUUUUAGUUCUUUUUGUACCAGUUGAAGCCAUUGCCUCAAAUCCAGACGGAUCAAAUUAAUUUUCGUCAUGAAUCAAUGCUGUCUUCCACUCCUUCCAGAGUUAAGACUUAUCCUCACAGCAGGUUUCCGCCGGGUGACUGAGCUGUGUGUCCUGCGAAGCUAUCCACGGUCAGGUCCAGUUUCGAGCGGAUACUUUUGAAAAGUCUAGAGAUUGAUUUCAGAUUUUCAAUCAAACAAGGUGAUCUCUCCCUCGCCCACUGAGUUUACAGCUUUCAGACAAUUAUAAAACAUUUUAUUAACUUCCCUUUUUUUUGGUACCUUUGAUCAUUUACGGCCACAAGAAAAGAAACGAGAAAGAGCAUUCUUUCUCUUCGACGUUGCGCUCAUGCUUCAUCUAAGGCUUUAGGAGCUUCUUCCACAUUUUCUUCUGCCUUCCAUAAUGGUAAGGCAUCCCAUUGCUUAAGACAUUGAUUUGAUUCAGGUAACAAAAAAUGUAUGGAAAAUCAAGAUUAUUUCACUUUCUGAGGAUGUGGCAAAGGUUUAUAGGAUCAACAUUAUCAUGCUGUUGUAGUAAUCGUUUAGUAAAUGUGGUGUAUAUUGUAUAAAGUUUCGAUGUGAUGUUGAGACAAUU